AUAGUAUAACAGAACGAAAAAUAUCACAAAUAAUAGAAAAUUACGGCGAUUGGUGAUCCCACUAACUGUGGACUAAAUACUAUGUGGUGGCCAUAUGAUAUCUUGAAAGGUGGGCUCAACAAGUCCUUAUCAAUAUUAUUUCAGGAUAUGCUACACAUUGAUGGAAUCUACUCCUCUACGCAGCUACCAUUGAGGGGUCCGCCCCAACCUAAUCUCCACUUCUAGUAGCCCUAGUGCACGACACUAAAGUAGCGACCCCUCUUGACAUUUCGUUAGGUUUAUUCACAUCUUCUAGGGACAUCUUGCUCAACCUCUUCAGGUUUAAAGCUUAUUAAGCAUGGAAAGGAACUAAGAGCACCUUUAAAAUCUUAACUUCGCAGAGUUGUUUUUAUUGCAACACCACCAAAAAGAUGCCCAAGGCAUUCCAAUGACAACCUCACCAGAAUUCAUCGUCACGGCCUAAAGCCCCUUGUUCUCCAAUGUGUCAACUAUAACAAAUUAAGGGAGCGAAAGCUCGCCAAAUUCUCCUUAGAUUUUUCCAACAAAAUGAAGCUCCAACCGAAAGGUAUCUUCAUCACAAUAAUCGAGGAGCUACCCCCUCCUUGAUGCCGAGGGAAUGGACUCAGUCCUACUUUGCUCUAAUGGUACUCUUCAAGUGACCUCGAGGGAUGCGAGACAAAGACACAAGUAAAUCUCCCAAAUGCUCCCCUAUGUAGUGGACUAUGGUUAUCUCCCUACUAUCAAUUAAGUGACUCGCCAUUUUUGAUCUCCCUUGUGCAGCAGACUAUGGUUAUCUCCUCGCCAUUAAUGAAAAUGCUCACCAUUUUAGUUCUCCCUUGUGCAGUGGACUACGAUUAUCUCGACAUCAACGAAGUUGCUCUCCACUUUAGUUCUCUACACUGAAAAAAAGAUCAUUCCUUAGUUCUCCCAAAUAGAUGCAGAUGCAAGACUUAAAACAGAAACUAUGCAAUCACCAUCGUCAACACAUUUUAGGGAAGACUUGAUGGGGGAAAUGGGGUAUCGGCUAAUAAAUAGCAAUAAGGAUACCGUAUGCCCAUCCUCUGACAAGUAAUCAAUUGAAGGAUUACUUGGCACCACAACACCACCCCAAAUGCAGUUCAAGGCUCGCACACAGAAGCUUACAAUGCACCAAUAAGAACGCAAAAGCAAAAGCAAAAGGAAAGGUGCCUUAUAGGCACCUAGC
rnacentral:lncRNA from 1 species